AGUCAAUUACCUCAUAAACUC
rnacentral:miRNA from 1 species